UCACCUCCCCAGAAGGAUUCCCAAAGCCCUGGUGGCCCAGGACUAGUCUCUGCUGGAAGGGUGUCUGUUUAUUCCUCUCUCACCAUUUCUCCGGGAACUGAUCUUUCCCAGUCAUGGCUGGGGUCACAUUGGGACAGCUGACCCUCAGCUCUCCUGAGAUGGUUUAGGAGCCCGCAGGCAGCGUUCUGCUUUGAGUAGCAAGAUUCCUGGCUGGACAUGAAAGGAAAGAUUAUAACAGCCCAUUUUCUCCAGGCGGCUUACCCUUGAUUCAGUGAGAAUCAAGGAAGAAGAGGGAAAGAAAUAAAGCAUCUUCAUCCAUCCUUCCUUCCUCCUUGCCUUACUCCACCAGCCACCAUGCCCUGCUGAGGCUGGUAAGGACCCAAGAGGGUGAGGGGCACACUGCACUUGAGCAGAUACACACGUAUACUUCGAUGAAGCCCUCUGCAGUGCGGUCUAGGUGUGCACAGAGCGGCAGCCACGGUGCCUGUCCCAUGCAGCACAGCCAGUGAGUGACAGAGCUCAGAUGAAGGCCAGAUCCGGCUGGAUAACACCUAGGCGCCUUCCUCCCUGCUGUUUGUCCCCACCCCACCCCCGUGGACUGAGGGGCUGGGCUUUGCCUGGACACGAUGUUCUCUGUAACAUCAAAUGAGCUUGUAUAACCAUGUGACUGUGCGGUGAGUAGACACUGAGUGUGUGGGCCCUGGCUGGGGUCAGGCCAGGUCACGCCACAGUCCCAUGCUGCACUCAGAAGGAUCCCGAGCCAGCAGCAGCCCCCUCACCCAUGAGUGACCCGGCCGGGAAGGGGACGUUGACAUGUCAACUGGUGCUGUGUUCGCGUCUUGUUUCGGAGCCCAUACUGUUGAGAUUUCCUGGGUACAGCAUCCCUGCCAUCUCUACCGCAAGCGUCCUGAGCCUCUGGAUCUUCUGCCGUUCUGUGAUGUCCCCCCUGAAUCUUAAGUGUAGGAGUUAUAUGGACCCAACGGGAGCCAUCAAUUAGGACCACGCCGGUGCCUACAGCUGACCUGAACUGUGUGAAGACAGAGCUUCCAUGAAAUGCCCUGGAAUCACUUUGUUCCCAAGGAUCUUAAUUACAAGGAGUCCUCAUGGCAAAGGGAUUAAAUGGCUUCCGCUCCUUUAGGUCUGUAGCUCCCCACCCAGCCAGUGCUUCCUCCUGUGCUUGGUGUUUCUUUUCCACCUCAGUGUGACAAUGCUCUGGAGGCUUCCUGGCAAAGGAGCGCUGAGGAGAACGUGCGUGCGCUUAGGAGCUGCUCUUGACACCGGGACCUUUCCGGAAGUGCUUCCUCUCUGGCAAAUCUUUUGCUGAGCAGGUGGAAGGGAGAGGUCCCAACAGUGUUCUGAACUGCUUCAU